rnacentral:rRNA from 1 species
AGUGAACGCUGGCGGUAGGCCUAACACAUGCAAGUCGAACGGCAGCACAGUAAGAGCUUGCUCUUACGGGUGGCGAGUGGCGGACGGGUGAGGAAUACAUCGGAAUCUACUUUUUCGUGGGGGAUAACGUAGGGAAACUUACGCUAAUACCGCAUACGACCUGCGGGUGAAAGCAGGGGAUCUUCGGACCUUGCGCGAUUGUAUGAGCCGAUGUCGGAUUAGCUAGUUGGCGGGGUAAAGGCCCACCAAGGCGACGAUCCGUAGCUGGUCUGAGAGGAUGAUCAGCCACACUGGAACUGAGACACGGUCCAGACUCCUACGGGAGGCAGCAGUGGGGAAUAUUGGACAAUGGGCGCAAGCCUGAUCCAGCCAUACCGCGUGGGUGAAGAAGGCCUUCGGGUUGUAAAGCCCUUUUGUUGGGAAAGAAAAGCAGCAGGUUAAUACCCCGCUGUUCUGACGGUACCCAAAGAAUAAGCACCGGCUAACUUCGUG